rnacentral:rRNA from 1 species
AACGCGAAGAACCUUACCUGGGCUUGAACCGCACAGGACCAGCUUGAGAAAUCAGGCCUUCCCGCAAGGGACCUGUGUAGAGGUGCUGCAUGGCUGUCGUCAGCUCGUGUCGUGAGAUGUUGGGUUAAGUCCCGCAACGAGCGCAACCCUUAUCCCUAGUUGCCAUCGGGUCAAGCCGGGCACUCUAGUGAAACUGCCUGGGAUAACCAGGAGGAAGGUGGGGAUGACGUCAAGUCCUCAUGGCCUUUAUGUCCAGGGCUACACACGUGCUACAAUGGCCGGUACAAACCGUCGCAAACCCGCAAGGGGAAGCUAAUCGGAAAAAGCCGGCCUCAGUUCGGAUUGGAGUCUGCAACCCGACUCCAUGAAGCUGGAAUCGCUAGUAAUCGCGGAUCAGAACGCCGCGGUGAAUACGUUCCCGGGCCUUGUACACACCGCAUAC